rnacentral:rRNA from 1 species
GUGGGGAAUAUUGCACAAUGGGGGAAACCCUGAUGCAGCGACGCCGCGUGAAGGAAGAAGUAUCUCGGUAUGUAAACUUCUAUCAGCAGGGAAGAAAAUGACGGUACCUGACUAAGAAGCCCCGGCUAACUACGUGCCAGCAGCCGCGGUAAUACGUAGGGGGCAAGCGUUAUCCGGAUUUACUGGGUGUAAAGGGAGCGUAGACGGAAGAGCAAGUCUGAUGUGAAAGGCUGGGGCUUAACCCCAGGACUGCAUUGGAAACUGUUUUUCUAGAGUGCCGGAGAGGUAAGCGGAAUUCCUAGUGUAGCGGUGAAAUGCGUAGAUAUUAGGAGGAACACCAGUGGCGAAGGCGGCUUACUGGACGGUAACUGACGUUGAGGCUCGAAAGCGUGGGGAGCAAACAGGA